GACUGACAUAGCAGAAUUUUAGGUGAGAUGGACUGAACCAGCGCAGAAUCCUUAUGGCAUUUGGCCGCUAAACUAAUGUGAUUGAUACCUCCCACCAUCCAAAAAAAUCAAGGGUAUCAGUUCACUAAUUCUGUUUCCUAAUCAUCCUUGCCCUUGAUAAGCCCAUUUGUCGCAACAGUAGUGAUCGAUGUGCGCUUCCAAGAUCUCCAGGACUGUUAAAGGAAAAUAACCAGCAGACCCACCAAGAUCACAGUUCUUACAAGCAGCAUGGAUGUUACUUAAAUGGUAAUUACACACGAGAACGCCAUCACACAUACUCUACCAAUCGGAUUUGUUCCAUUUCAGUGGAGGGUUGGACUGAACCAGGCGAGCGGGAUGCAUAGAACAAAGAGCGGGGGAUUUUCCUCUGACGAGGGGGAAAUGCCAGUCGAGGGAGAUGGAAUCCAUCCCGGCAAGAAGACGAGGCGAAAAUCAGAAAAGGAAAUGAGAAUUUUCGCCAAUGGCAUCAAGAUGAAGGGAGGAACAAAUAAGCGCCCUUUCUUGCGUCACAUAACACAGAGAGGCUACGUUCUUUCCCCUUUGCUCUCUUCCCUCCUCUUCUUGCUGCCGGGCGG